rnacentral:rRNA from 1 species
UAAUACCAGCGGCCCUAGUGGUGAUCGUUAUUAUUGGGCCUAAAGCGUCCGUAGCCGGUUCGGUAAAUCUCUGGGUAAAUCGUUGGGCUUAACUCAGCGAAUUCUGGGGAGACUGCCGAACUUGGGACCGGGAGAGGUCGGAGGUACUCCAGGGGUAGGGGUGAAAUCCUGUAAUCCUUGGGGGACCACCGGUGGCGAAAGCGUCCGACCAGAACGGGUCCGACGGUAAGGGACGAAGCCCUGGGUCGCGAACCGGAUUAGAUACCCGGGUAGUCCAGGGUGUAAACGCUGUGCGCUUGGUGUAGGGUGUCCCACGAGGGCAUCCUGUGCCGGAGAGAAGUUGUUAAGCGCACCGCCUGGGGAGUACGGUCGCAAGACUG